rnacentral:rRNA from 1 species
GGUGAGUAAUGCCUAGGAAUCUGCCUGGUAGUGGGGGAUAACGUCCGGAAACGGACGCUAAUACUGCAUACGUCCUACGGGAGAAAGCAUGGGACCUUCGGGCCUUGCGCUAUCAGAUGAGCCUAGGUCGGAUUAGCUAGUUGGUGGGGUAAUGGCUCACCAAGGCGACGAUCCGUAANUGGUCUGAGAGGAUGAUCAGUCACACUGGAACUGAGACACGGUCCAGACUCCUACGGGAGGCAGCAGUGGGGAAUAUUGGACAAUGGGCGAAAGCCUGAUCCAGCCAUGCCGCGUGUGUGAAGAAGGUCUUCGGAUUGUAAAGCACUUUAAGUUGGAGGAAGGGCAGUAAAUUAAUACUUUGCUGUUUUGACGUUACCGACAGAAUAAGC